rnacentral:rRNA from 1 species
UACGGGGGGGGUAAGCGUUGUUCGGAAUUACUGGGCGUAAAGGGUGUGCAGGCGGGGUUGCAAGUGGUGUAUGAAAUAUCCCAGCUUAACUGGGAGGGUUAUGCCAGACUGCAACUCUAGAGGACGAGAGAGGGGGGUGGAAUUCCUGGUGUAGCGGUGAAAUGCGUAGAUAUCAGGAGGAACACCUGCGGUGUAGACGGCUUUCUGGACCAUUGGCUGACGCUGAGACACGAAAGCGUGGGUAGCAAACAGG